rnacentral:misc_RNA from 1 species
GAUGAAGAACGCAGCGAAAUGCGAUAAGUAAUGUGAAUUGCAGAAUUCAGUGAAUCAUCGAAUCUUUGAACGCACAUUGCGCCCGCCAGUAUUCUGGCGGGCAUGCCUGUUCGAGCGUCAUUACGCCCCUCAAGUCCCCUGUGGACUUGGUGUUGGGGAUCGGCGAGGCUGGUUUUCCAGCACAGCCGUCCCUUAAAUUAAUUGGCGGUCUCGCCGUGGCCCUCCUCUGCGCAGUAGUAAAACACUCGCAACAGGAGCCCGGCGCGGUCCACUGCCGUAAAACCCCCCAACUUUUUAUAGUUGACCUCGAAUCAGGUAGGACUACCCGCUGAACUUAAGCAUAUCAAUAAGCGGAGGA